UACCGCAUGGCCAUCGGGAUUCUUAGACGCCAGUCGGGGCCCUGACGUCCUGAUGACCGCGGCCUCAGCUAGGGCGGGGUAAGCCCACAGGCUAUGGGGUAGCUUCUGAGAGCGACCAGCCACUGGAAGAGACACGCCAGACACACGGGUGGGCAGUCGAAUUUUUCUAUGGGGGACCCUGAAGGCGACGCCGUGAAGGAAAGGUCUUGAUUGUAAUUCUGUCAAGAGAACAUGCGCGGGGUAACUGGCGCGCUUGAGUAUCUGGAGGAAGGCGGCUAACUGUGCCAGUCCGC
rnacentral:rRNA from 1 species